rnacentral:rRNA from 1 species
GACGAACGCUGGCGGCGUGCUUAACACAUGCAAGUCGAACGGAAAGGCCCUGCUUUUGUGGGGUGCUCGAGUGGCGAACGGGUGAGUAACACGUGAGUAACCUGCCCUUGACUUUGGGAUAACUUCAGGAAACUGGGGCUAAUACCGGAUAGGAGCUCCUGCUGCAUGGUGGGGGUUGGAAAGUUUCGGCGGUUGGGGAUGGACUCGCGGCUUAUCAGCUUGUUGGUGGGGUAGUGGCUUACCAAGGCUUUGACGGGUAGCCGGCCUGAGAGGGUGACCGGCCACAUUGGGACUGAGAUACGGCCCAGACUCCUACGGGAGGCAGCAUUGGGGAAUAUUGCACAAUGGGCGGAAGCCUGAUGCAGCAACGCCGCGUGCGGGAUGACGGCCUUCGGGUUGUAAACCGCUUUCGCCUGUGACGAAGCGUGAGUGACGGUAAUGGGUAAAGAAGCACCGGCUAACUACGUG